AAAGAACAAGAAAAAAGAAACACGAGAAAGGAAAGAUCAAUGGAUGAACAAAUGUCCAUAAGCGAAGAAGAGGAAGAAACAAACGAGAAAGAAGAAAGAAGAAUAGAAAAAAAGA